UACGUAGGGGGCAAGCGUUGUCCGGAAUCAUUGGGCGUAAAGCGCGCGUAGGCGGCCCGGUAAGUCCGCUCUGAAAGUCCAGGGCUCAACCCUGGAAAGCGGGUGGAUACUGCCGGGCUAGAAUCCGGAAGAGGCGAGUGGAAUUCCUGGUGUAGCGGUGGAAUGCGCAGAUAUCAGGAGGAACACCGGUGGCGAAGGCGGCCUGCUGGGCAGUUGCUGACACUGAGGCGCGACAGCGUGGGGAGCAAACAGG
rnacentral:rRNA from 1 species